rnacentral:rRNA from 1 species
UUGGAGGGCAAGUCUGGUGCCAGCAGCCGCGGUAAUUCCAGCUCCAAUAGCGUAUAUUAAAGUUGUUGCAGUUAAAAAGCUCGUAGUUGAAUUUCGGGAUCAAUACGUCGGUCGUGCCUCUGGUAUGUACUGGUGUUGUUGAUUCCUCCCUUCUGACGAACCAUGAUGUCAUUAAUUUGAUGUCGUGGGGAAUCAGGACUGUUACUUUGAAAAAAUUAGAGUGUUUAAAGCAGGCUCACGCUUGAAUACAUUAGCAUGGAAUAAUGAAAUAGGACGUUCGAUUCUAUUUUGUUGGUUUCUAGGAUCAACGUAAUGAUUAAUAGGGACAGUUGGGGGCAUUAGUAUUCAAUUGUCAGAGGUGAAAUUCUUGGAUUUAUUGAAGACUAACUACUGCGAAAGCAUUUGCCAAGGAUGUUUUCAUUAAUCAAGAACGAAAGUUAGGGGAUCGAAGACGAUCAGAUACCGUCGUAGUCUUAACCAUAAACUAUGCCGACUAGGGAUCGGAUGAUGUUAAUUUUUUAAUGACUCAUUCGGCGCCUUACGGGAAAC